UCCAGUCUAAAUUUGUCUAGCUUCAACUUUCAGCCAUUGGAUCGUGUUAUACCUUUUUCUGCAAGACAGAAGAGCCAAUUAUCAAUAUUUGCUCGCCAUGUAGAUGCUUAGAGAUUGUGAUAAAC